rnacentral:tRNA from 1 species
CGUAAAGUCAGUCAAUAAGGCUCUUGGGUUCAUGUCUCGAGAAUGCAGGUUAAAAUCCUGCCUUUACAA